rnacentral:rRNA from 1 species
GAUGAACGCUGGCGGCGUGCCUAAUACAUGCAAGUCGAGCGAACAGACGAGGAGCUUGCUCCUUUGACGUUAGCGGCGGACGGGUGAGUAACACGUGGAUAACCUACCUAUAAGACUGGGAUAACUUCGGGAAACCGGAGCUAAUACCGGAUAACAUGUUGAACCGCAUGGUUCAACAGUGAAAGACGGUCUUGCUGUCACUUAUAGAUGGAUCCGCGCCGCAUUAGCUAGUUGGUAAGGUAACGGCUUACCAAGGCAACGAUGCGUAGCCGACCUGAGAGGGUGAUCGGCCACACUGGAACUGGGACACGGUCCAGACUCCUACGGGAGGCAGCAGUAGGGAAUCUUCCGCAAAGGGCGAAAGCCUGACGGAGCAACGCCGCGUGAGUGAAGAAGGUCUUCGGAUCGUAAAACUCUGUUAUUAGGGAAGAACAAAUGUGUAAGUAACUAUGCACGUCUUGACGGUACCUAAUCAGAAAGCCACGGCUAACUACGUG